UACGGAGGAUGCGAGCGUUAUCCGGAUUUAUUGGGUUUAAAGGGUGCGUAGGCGGACUGUUAAGUCAGCGGUAAAAGCCCGGGGCUCAACCCCUUCCCGCCAUUGAAACUGGCGUUCUUGAGUGGAAGAGAAGUAUGCGGAAUGCGCGGUGUAGCGGUGAAAUGCAUAGAUAUCGCGCAGAACUCCGAUUGCGAAGGCAGCAUACCGGCGCCCAACUGACGCUGAAGCACGAAAGCGUGGGUAUCGAACAGG
rnacentral:rRNA from 1 species